rnacentral:rRNA from 1 species
UACGAAGGGGGCUAGCGUUGUUCGGAAUUACUGGGCGUAAAGCGAACGUAGGCGGUGUUCCAUGUCAGAGGUGAAAACCUGGGGCUCAACUCCAGAAUUGCCUUUGAAACGGGGACGCUUGAGUCCGAGAGAGGAUGGCGGAAUUCCUAGUGUAGAGGUGAAAUUCGUAGAUAUUAGGAAGAACACCGGUGGCGAAGGCGGCCAUCUGGCUCGGUACUGACGCUCAGAUUCGAAAGCGUGGGGAGCAAACAGG